GGCACUUUAGCAUAGCGGUAAGGCGCAGGACUCGUAAUCAUAAGGUUGCUGGCUCAAUUCCCUGCUGAGGCCC